GGACCUCAGAUCAGGCAAGACUACCCGCUGAGUUUAAGCAUAUCACUAAGCGGAGGAAAAGAAACUAACGAGGAUUUCCUUAGUAACGGCGAGCGAACCG
rnacentral:rRNA from 1 species